UCCCCCGUGUAUCCCCGUGCAUCCCCGUGCUGGCUCUGCCCAGCGCCCCGGGAGCAGUGCCCAUGCCGGGACCUCUCUCUCACGGCCGUGCCACUGCCCCACGUGCGGGGCGAGCGGCUUGGGAGGCUCAAAAGGCUUUGAAAGGUCAAAUUCUCCUCUCGCUUUCACCUGAGCAGCAAAGCGAGACAGUGCAAGCCGUAUCUCACGAGUGACACAGUCAUGCGCAUGUGAUCGGGCCAAGAAAGCACUCAGCAGAUAACUCUGCUUGUCUCCUGCAUGGCUCACCCAGCGCCCUGAAUACAGUUUGUGUUUACUUAGCAACCGAAACGGGUCCCACGUUGUGCGGCCAAAAUAGCCCUGGCCCCUGCUCCCGAAAGAUUACAGCCCCAGCAGAACGGGAAAAUCCCUGGGACUCUGGGCAGGGAUGGUUGCCAUCAAAUCCCUGUCAAUUUUCGGGUUUUCAAAUCAGCGGCAGAAACAAGGUUAAAGAAGGCGAGAGGUGAUGGAAACGAAGUUCGAGAUGUAGGGAAGAAAAUAAGGGAAAGAAAACUCUGUAGGAUUGGGCUAAGUGGGUGAAUAUUCUGUUAUUUUCAGGAGCCAAUUUUAACUCUCCAGUCCACGCUUUCGGGGUGGUUUUGGCCGCUUCACGCUGAUAAACUGCAAUUGGGAGUGUUAAUGUGGUAGCUAAAGAUCACCAAGUGCUCGCAGCGAGCUGUCCCUGCUUGUUUCACAAAACAGCAACCAAAAUAGCCUUGUCAGUUUAAAUAGUCAGAGUUUGGUGGUAAAACAUGCAUGCUUCAGCUAACUGAACUGAGUUAGAAAGCUCUGGCUAGCAUUUGGAACCAUAUGUUAAAUAAAUUAUGGUUUGCAUUUGAACUACACUGUGGUUGCUUUAGGUGGAUAAACUGGAAUCUGCCAAACUGCCUUGAUCAUUCUGAAUUUAUAGACAAUUAAUUAUGUAAAUACACUUCUAGAUAUGGUUGGUCUUCGGCUGACUUCCUUCCUUGUUUUUCUGCCUAACAUUGUCACCUGAAACUAUUCUCAGGGAGAUUCUCUAUCUUUUGCACCAGACUUUGUUGCAUGCCUUUACUGUGUGUCAGGAUCACACUUUAGAAGUUGACAUAUAAAAUGGGGGUAUUUUUAAUUCUUUUCUGUGUGGGAAAAAAGAGAAAUCUGAGAAGCAACAGAACCAAAGAGACAGCGCCACUUCUGUGCCACAAAGAGCACUCUUGGACUGGAAACACACUAAGAAUGGGGAUUUCAUUGACACCACUCAAAGAAGCUGUGUUUUAUUCCAAGUCUUUUGCUGAUGAGAAUUAUGGAUAUUUUAAUGAUGUAGAUGUUAGAUAGACCCUGUGCUAGCCAAAAUCUCUCAGGAAAGGUAUAUGUCAAAGUGAUGAAUAAAAACUUUGAGAGAACAGUGUUUCAGCAGGAAAAGGGACCAAAAAUAAAAUUCUACCCCGUGGAAAUCAUACAGAACAUUCCAUGACAAACACGGGGGUAUUUUCCCAGCACCCAGAUUCAAGUAAUGAAUUUAGAAUUACAGAACAGCACCAUGGUCACAGGAUCCUGCUCAGGAUCUGGCACUGGGUUCUUUGAGUGUCCCUUACUGGAAGGUGAGGUGGCCUUGGCUUGUGCUGGUUCCUGGAGGGAUGAGCAGCACGGUGCCAGGGCUGUUCCUGCUCCCCUCUGCCCUGGGGAACACAGGGGGCACGAGCUGGGUCACCUCCUGGGAUAUUAAUAGGUCCAGCUAUUUUGUGAAGCUGGAAGGAAUUAGCUGAUAAUUCAGGCUAAUGACUUGAGAAACAUAACAUAUCUCUUCACAUCACAUGUAGUUCUGCUUGCUGGUAAUUAUUGCUGUGUUUUUCCUGCUUGCUGGUAAUUAUUGUAAUUAUUGUAUUUUCAUGUAUACAUUACUGUGGCACCCACUGAUUUCAGUGGAGUGCAUAUGAGCCCUUCAAAUGGUGAUCUUUCAUUUCUUUGAAAGACUUUAGGAUCAUCUUCUCACCUGCUCUCCAUUUCCACUUCUGUGUGAUCAUGCCUCUAACAGAUACAUGAACUGUAAUUUAUUUCUAUUUAAAAGAUAUUUUCAUGCCUUGCUUUUCUACCCUUAUUUUCUAUUGUUCUAGCUUCUACUUCUCUCUAAGAAAAAAAAGGAUUACAUUUUUUUCAGUUUAGUUUCAUCUUUGCAUGAUUUUAAUUUUCCUCAUUUCAUACACUUUCCACUUAGAGUGCCUUUCCUUGCAUUUCACUGUUGUAGUAUACCCAGUUUCUUCUUUUUCUCUUAUCUCUUUCCUAUUUUAUUCUUUCUCUGUUUCUUUUCCCUCUCACUCUUCCUCAAGCUUUUGAGAAGUGCCAGUGUUUGUUUCUAGUGCACUCUCUCAGCCCAAGUACAUUUCAUCAGCUGGAAAAUACAAAACAUGCAGUUUGAUCCUGUUUUUCCAGUUAUGUAUUCCUGGGGUAAUAAAGCCAAAGGAAUUCCUUUAUUCUGUAUUAGGGGCAGAGGGCAUUUCAUGGUCUAAAUGACAAGCACAGACUUUGCAGGGGGUGCAGUAAACUAAGUUAACUAAACUAAACUAAACUAAACUAAACUAAACUAAACUAAACCAAGCAUGUAAAACCUAACACCCUCCCCUUUGAACUUACAGCUUGAAAACGAAAAAUUUUGGGGUUGCAUGAACUUUAUGUGUUUGAUCCUCAUGAGUGUUUGUUCAAGGUCAAAUGCCAUAUUAUAAAUAGUGUUUAUAUUUUUUUACAUCAAAUUAAUAUUAUUACCGAAUUCCAGUUUGUGGGGUUGCUGCUAUCUUACACCAGAACUGUUUCACAACUGAUUGUGAAAAAUAGGACUAUUUUGAUAUUUUGACCAGUCCAAAGGCUGGAUUAGCCAUAAGUCAGCAUUGUUCUUAGUGUGGCUCUACACUGAAGUUGUGGGUUUCUCUCCUCCUUACUUUUCAACUCAUCUGCAGUGCUCAAGUCUAAUUAAUCAGCCAUUAUGUGGGUGAAGUUAUUUCUAUACAAAUGGUAGAGAUACCCACAAAGGUCUGUUCUUGCCAAGGAAUAUGAAGCAUUACUCCUGCAGGAGCAUGAGCCUGGCUACCUUCCAAACACCUGGACUGAGAAAGAAAUAGCAGCAUUUACUAUUACUUUUAUUACAGAACUGACACACUCGGGCCACUGGGAGAAGAGACAGAGGCAGCAGCAUGAAAUAUGUUGGGGUUUUAACCUAAGCAAGAGAGAUAGAGGUGAUGUAUGGGGUAAAAGCAAGGGACUCUUUGAAGUGUACAAGAAGCAGCAGAGGUGGAGAUUUCAGCUCCAUGAACUCCUUUGUGGGAAGGUGACAAAUGUCACAUCCACGCUGACCCUGCCUUUGGAGGUUGCUGAGGGAAGGCAGCACACCUCUUCAGCCAAGGGGCCAAGCUUUCCCUGAUAAUUACUCUUGGAUUUAAUGGCAGCUGCUCUGGAUUUCUCACUGCUUUGAGUAAGCUACAAAACUUCCAGUCCUGGAAAAGCCAAUGACCAGCGGAACCAGGUGAAUCACGGCUCCAGAAAAAAGGAGUUGCACAAGGGGCAGAUCCAAUUUCAUUGUGCCCAUGGAAUUCCUCCUCUUCUUUACCACAGGCUGUUUUCAGUGUCGAGUUUCCUUCUCGCCGGGGCGGUAACUGCUCGUGUGCCGCGGCUACGGGAGGCAGGCUUUGGGUGCUCGGAUCCCCCUCGGGCUCUCAGCACGUACUGGAUGUGGUCAGCUGUUUGCCCCUAUUACGUUUCAAGUUCAGAGUAAAAACAGAACAUGACCUAAGAUAUUUCCAUAAUUGUUUUCUUUAAUCACCCCUAAUUCCUCUGUUUCAGAAUUAAACCUGUCGCAGCCGAUGUGUGUGACAUACAUCAUCCCUCUGUGACUGGAACGCUAAAUAUCCCCUUACAAUUCCUGCAGGAUGUAUUCUCCUUGGUGGGGAUUUCACAGCCCCUUCACGAGAAAUAUUUGGAAUUCAGAGACCAUGAAAAGGUUUCUGAAUUUACAGACAGUUGGUUUAGGGAGUGGGCAAAGUAAGUGGCUGUGUGUCUUACUAAGAAUUACGUAGUGCUAAGGAAGCAAACUGAGAAGGGAAGAUUUAUUGUUUACCAGCAAUAGCCCUUGGCAAGAGGAGUGAAUCUAUUUACAAUAACAAAUCAAAGAAGCCAUCUUGGGUCAGACUCAACUUACAGCCAGUUUCCAGCAGCUGUCUGUAGCAGAUAUCUAAAGAAGAAUGGACAGUAAAAACAUGAUAAACACAAUUAAAACUCCACACACGCAGCCACCAGAGGCUCUUGAUGUAGGAUUUUUCUGCCUAUUUUUCAAACUGUUUUUUAACACACCUUGAUUUUCAACACCCUGUACCACCCCCAUUUACUGUAUGGUGAAGCAGAAAAUAAGAUUUCCCUCAUGUCUCCUUCACACAUGCAGUGGUUUUACAGCUUUCUGCAGGAGUUUUCUCGUGUGGCUUUGGAACCUGGAGUUCCUCAGUCCAUGUAUAAACAUGAAUCCCUGCUUGCUCUUCUCUAUCUUAACUAAUACAUCUUUUUAGACAUUAGGGGACAAAAAGUACAGAUUAGAAACAUGGAUUAUUCAACAUGUUCCUGUAGACUUUCACUGUGGAUGCUGAGGCUUUCUGCUUUCUUUCUUAAUCCCAAGAAUUUUUAUCAUCUGUUUACACUGUCAGCUGAGCACUGAGUAACAUUUUUGCAGACCUACUUCUAUUUUAUUGAGGACAUAAGCAUUUGAUAGGCAGGAAAUUGUGUAGAAAACAGCCUAAAGCCACCCUUGCUAACCCACAGAACUCAUUUCUCCAUACACCUGUGGGGACAGAGUCUUCAAAAGUUGCCUGUUAGCAGCUCUGAAAAUCUGAUAGAGUUGUCAUAAUGUAGAUAUUCAUGGAAAUGUAUUUCAUGGAAAUGGAGAUAUUUCCAUGAAAAUGACAGGUGAAGAAGAAAAAGUCUUCCUGGAUUGAAAACCCAUAGUGGGAGCAGCCCUGUGGCCCUCAGAGGAAACACCCAAGAGGCUUCCAGUGGAUGCAUUGCUGAGGGAAGGACACAGCACAGAAACACAGCUUCAAGUGCUGACGGCAAUAUAAAGGGAAACUUCUGCUGUGCUGCCCUCUUCUGUGUACCAGGCUUAUAAAUUUGCAUCACUCCUCUGUUCAAGCACACCAGCUCCACCAGAAUCAUUCAGAUGAAUCUACAGCCUUCUAAGGGACAGAGCUGCUGUGGAUGGUGUACACUGAUAUUUUGCUCGUGAAGGGAUUUGGUCAGGUGCCCAAUAUGAUCCAGCAGGAUCCUGCCUUGGAGCCAGGGGUGAGGAUGGUGAGCCCGGCAAAGGGGCCGGCAGAGGUGUCCGGUCAGUGUCAGUGUCCAGUCAGUGUCCAGUCAGUGUCCGUGUCUGGACAGUGUCCGUGUCCAGUCAGUGUCCAUACCCGGGCAGUGUCCAUACCCGGGCAGUGUCCAUACCCGGGCAGUGUCCAUACCUGGGCAGUGUCCAUACCCGGGCAGUGUCCAUACCCGGGCAGUGUCCAUACCUGGACAGUGUCCAUGCCCAGUCAGUGUCCAUACCCUGUCAGUGUCCAUACCCUGUCAGUGUCCAUACCCGGGCAGUGUCCAUACCUGGUCAGUGUCCAUACCUGGACAGUGUCCAUACCCGGGGCUGUCCGUGCGCUGCGGGAGCCGCUCCCCGCUCCCACUGAGAGCGCAGCUCCAU